CCCCGCAGCCCCUAUAGCGGGCUCGGCGGCGGCCGCCGGCUCGGCUCGGCUCGGCUCGGCACGGCUUAGCCCAUCCGCUAGAACCGGGCGGAGCGAGCUAGCGGGGGAGCCGGGCCGGCAUAUGUUCACAUCCGGGGUGACGCACAUGCGUGCGGCCCUUAUUCCGGGAUAACUUUAGUCCGUGCCAACCGGCCGGGGCCAGCGCCGGGCUCCCUCUUCCCCGCCCCGCCGUUCCCUUCACCGCCAGGCACGGCCCGGCACCGCCUCGCCCGCAGUCACCCCCGGGCUCCGGGCCAGGCGACAGCCCUCGGGAGCUCGCCGGGGAAAAAAGGCCGGGCUGUCCCCGCAGAGCUGCUCCUCCGGGCCGGGUUAAGAGCUCGGCGGGGUGCGCUGCAUCGGCCCCGUCCUGGGCUGGAGCCCGGAACGGCCUGGAGGAUUUCUUACUUCCCCUCCAAGGUCAGAUUCCCUGGAAUCGCAGAAUUUUGAGUCUCCGCACAGCUGUCCCGGUGCAUCGGCCGGACGGAGCGCGGGCCCACCGGGGCCCGCCCGUCGGUUUGGAGACUUCAGUCCGGGCCUGAGCCCGGCAGGACGAGGACCGAGCCCUCAGGAGGCGAGCGUGAACGUAAAAAGAGCGACUGGGGAGAAAAAUGGAACCAAACACCCCGCCAAGCUCAGGAGAGCAAACCGAAUGCUGUCAGACUACCUUCCUUAUUCUCAGAGAAUUUCAUGCCUCAGUUUCAUCUCGACAGAUGACAGCCGAGCGCCGCAGUUAGAGGGCAUUCCUUCCCUGAACAAACCGCGUACCACAGCUCCUUUCCUAACAAGCCGUGACACAUCAUCCUGAAAACACCUCCUUUAAAAAUUGUGUUAAGCUUCACUAUUUUGUUAAGUUUAGUUUAUUACAGGUUUCCAAGUCAUUGAUGCGACUAGUCGACGAUCAGGUAAAUCUUAGACAACAGUGUCAGCCAGCUCUACGCAUUGCAGAGCAUCAGAGCAGGGGACUGUGCUCUCUUGCCAGUACCUGUAAGCAAUGAUAUUCAAAAGAAAUUUUCAUUAAAUUUGGAGUCUAGCUCAAUGGCAUGGUCACAGACGGCACUGAAAUGAGAGCCCUGGAAGCCGAAAUUUCUGUUUAUUUACAGCACGUUUGCAAGCGGAGCAGAAGGGCCCCACUGAAUAUCAGGCCUUCAGCUGGGAAAUGUGACAAGCGUCACAGUGGUUUUGGUAGGGAAUACUUUCACAAAAGCAAGCGGAGGCCUUGCAACUCGGUUAAAUGUCAGAUGGUAACAAUAAAUUCUUUUGUUGUAACUACAGCAGCUUUUUUUUUUAAUAAUAAUAAUAAAAAAAAAAGGCCGUAAAAUUAGAGAGGCCUUCAUGCUGCAAAAGAGGAUGGCUAAUAACGAGCAGCCAUUUGGGUUAGCAUCUCUACAAUCAGUCUGCUCCCUACCCCUCUCCCAAAGCAAGCCAUCCGCGUCCCCUCCCAGCGCGGAGCAGGCAUUUAGCAGUUCCCACUGCUGAUGCAGCCCGAGCUGAAGCUUUGCAAAGCAAAACCUCUCCGGCCUUUUGCCUCAUGCCCGACUCGACUCUGCGGCAGGAGACAGCGGUGGGAUGGAGGUGUUUCUGGCAGCCCUCCUGCCCAGGCAGGCAGCUCGGCAGUGGGUGCAGUGAUGGGAGGAAGGUCCCUGCAGAGGGUGCUCCAGCCCUGGCUACCUUCUUCCAGCUGAUGCAAGCCACACUGGGUCUGCAACCUACUUCGGGUUUUUCGUGGAAACACACGUGUGGGAAGGAGGACAUGCGAGCAGGGGGACCUCGGCAGGCCGGGAAUGCGUCAGCGAGAGAUUUAACGGAUUAAGUUUUCCAGAAGUUCAGUACGUGGCUCUCCACAGUUCGGUAUAAAAGGAAGUUUCUGCUGCGGUCAAAUAAAACGCAACUCUUUUCAACAGU